AGGAGAGACCUUCAUUUUGUUGAUCCACAAUCAACAAAACUGGUAGGAGGAAGAAGGAACAGAUACUUACCCCUCGGCUCAGGUUAUUGCCGGUGCAGAUGGCUUUGAGAGUGGCUGCAGACUCCCCCCGAGGACUGCCUGGGACCGCCUUCCCGAUUCCCGGGCCGAGGCUUUAGGAAGAGCGCUGUGGUGUUUCGAGAGGCUUCUCUGUCCCAGCUCUUCUAUAAACUGCCUAAAAGCAAGGAGAAGAGAGAGGAGAAAGACAUGGAGAGAGAGAUUGAUCUGAAACAGAGGAGACUUGGAGAAAAAGCAAUCAAAUAUACGUGUAAAGGGUCAGCCUGGGUGGCUCAGCGGUUCAGCGCCUGCCUUCAGCCCAGGGCGUGAUCCUGAAGACCCGAGAUUGAGUCCCACGUCGGGCUCCCUGCAUGGAGCCUGCUUCUCUCUCCGCCUCUCUCUCU